rnacentral:lncRNA from 1 species
AUGAGCGGGGCGCCGGGGGCUGCUCCCCGCCGUGCAGAGGCCUCCCCUCCCCUCGCCCUGGCAGAGCCCGGCGCGAGGAGAGGUGCUCCGGGAGCCGCCGGGCCAGCGGCCUCGGGCCCCCUGCCCCUCCCGGGCCUGCGGGUCGGGCCAGCCCCCCGCGCCUCUCCCUGCAGCCCUCCGGGGAUGGGACCAGCCCCGCCAGGAAACCAGCCCGGGGAGGUGCCACCAGGCCCGCCUCGGCGGGGUCAGCCUUACCCGUCUUCUUCUUCUUCUUCUCCUUCUCCUCCUCCUCCUCCUCCUCCGCCGCCGCCUCCCCCACCACGGCAGCCGCCGCCACUACCGCCGCCACCAGCGCCGCCUCCGCCCGGCAGGGGGGACCCCGCCGACCCGACCCGCUCCGCAGCCUCCCGCCGCCGCCGUUCCGCUCCGGGGGAGGAGGAGGAGGAGGAGGAGGAAGGGAAGGGGGGCGUCCGUGCUGCCGCCACUGGCGGGCGAAGCGGGGAGGCUGGGGUGGGUGGGUGUCUGCGGGCGCCGCUCCCGUCCUCAGCUGGAACCGCUCCGGCUCCGCGUCGCUCCCGGCCUCCCCUCCCCCCGCUCGCUGCGCUCCAAAUCAAAAUAGUGUCACAAUAUGGCGGCCGCGGCGGCGGCCCAGCAUCGCGAGACCUUGCCCCGAGUGCUAACGGGAUGCGGCGCGCGGGGGAAGGGGGCGGCGCGGGCGCCAAUGGGCGGCGGGCGGGGGGCCGCGCGCGGGCGGGGGCGGAGACCCCGCCACCACCCCCGCGCGCCGCGCGGAGGGGCCGGACCGCCUCCUCCCCCCUGCUCCCCUCUCCGCGGCGCGCGCACGACACGCGUGCGGUAACGGCCGCCUCGAGGGGGGCGGGCGGCCGGGCAGAGCGACCCCCGCCCCGCCCCUCUUCUGCUCCCGCGGACUGCGAGGCGGCCGGGCAGCCCCGGCCCGGCCCGGCCCGGGCGGGGAGGGGGGCGAUGCGCCAGAGACUUGCCCCCUCCUCCGCCACCUUCUCUCGCCCCCGGCGCCUUUUCAGCUCCUUCCCCACUUACCCCGGGGCUCCCUAG